rnacentral:lncRNA from 1 species
AAGGCUGUCGCCGAUGCAGACCACCUCCCGCAAGGCCUGGCAGUGACAGCGUGAUUAGGCUGACAGAUUUGUAGCGGCAGGAAUACAUCUCAGCCACCGACAUGCCCUCCACCUCCAGGCUCCAACGUAGCCGAAUCUCUCCCUCUGCCACCACCGCUUCCUACCUCCGCCACCAAAACAACGUACGCAGCAGGAAAAAACGCGCGCGGGUGCCCAGAUUGGGGAAGAAAGGUGCACGCGAAAAUAUAAGGCAAGGGAGGAGCUCGAUGCGGGUCGCCAAUAUUUUGGGGUGAAGAAGAGGCGUCUGUUGGAUCAGAAAAAAAGGAUUUUUUCCUAAUAUCGAUUUUCAGGUUGGUUUAAGGGUUCUUCUGGAGAUGCUCUGAGCCCGUGAUCAGAUGUAACCACCACAGACGAAAUAACUGGAACUUUGCCACACGAAACGUUCUCGAUUUGCGCAGCACCAAGCCACACCAACUGAUCUCUUUCCCCGUCGACGUGCAGGCGGAGGGGGCACAUUCCACCGAGGUUGGGGCUGUCAAAAUCAGGUGCCCUUCCAGAUCCCAGAGGAGAGAGAGGCCCCGGCGAGUCCGCCGCCCGUCCAGAUCCUGCCGAUCCAGUCACGGGUUCAUCGCCUUGCCGGCUUUGUCUACUGGUAAGCACAACACAUACGACUCGCAUGCCCCAGCGCCCACCCGCCUAGCUCCCUUAUCAUCCUCCUCGCGGACACCGACGCGCGCCUGACUGUUUUGACGUUUGCUUGCUGGCAAGGAGCCGUCUUCUUCCUCGCCGGGAAAUCUCCUUCGCUGCCUCGCUUGCGUCCCUGGGCUUCUUGUUCCACACCAUCGCCUGGCUUCGUCCCCUGCAAAUUUUGAAACUGUCAGAAGCCUAGGUAAUGCAUGUGGUUUGGGGAUCUAUGAGCUGUCAGUGAGCUGGGAUUAGGGCUUGUUAAUCGGCCUUGUAAGGGAGAAUCACUCCUAUAAAUACCUGUACUUGGUGAUUGAGAAGGAAUAACAGAAAUAAUACAACCAAAUACCAAAAUCGAAGUCCACUUGCCUAACUG